rnacentral:rRNA from 1 species
CAGUAGCCGCGGUAAUACGUAGGGUGCAAGCGUUAAUCGGAAUUACUGGGCGUAAAGUGUGCGUAGGUGGUGGUUUAAGUCCGUUGUGAAAGCCCUGGGCUCAGCCUGGGAAUUGCAGUGGAUACUGGGUCACUAGAGUGUGGUAGAGGAUAGUGGAAUUUCCGGUGUAGCAGUGAAAUGCGUAGAGAUCGGAAGGAACACCGGUGGCGAAGGCGGCAACCUGGCUCAUUACUGACGCUGAGGCGCGAAAGCGUGGGGAGCAAACAGGAUUAGAUACCCGCGUAGUCCCUGUCUCUUAUAC